AAUAGGAAAUAUGAAGUUGAAAUCAUGCGAAUAUAAGAAAAUUGAAUGCUAAAUUAAGCAAUUCAUCUGAUAGUACAGGCGAAAAAAAUCAAGGAAGAGACCUAAAAAACAUUAGAUAUAUAAGAUCAAAGAGGAUACAAGACAAAAAACUUAGACAAAAACCGUGACGUGGACAAACAUAGAUGACAAAACAAGGAACAGGAAAGAAUAGAACGAGUUCAUUCGGUCUUCUGUCACUAGAUAUGAAGGGAAAAGAAGAUAAAGAAGAAACUUUCUCCAUACAAAUGGAAGAAGAAGAAAGUUGAAGCCAUUUUCGAAAGAGUAUUAUUGAAACUAUAACAUGAUAAAAUGUAGAUGCUGUUUUUAAGAGAAUAGUUGAAGAGUAUCGUGAGAAGCCAAGUCAUACGAAUAGAGAAAAAGCCAAUAUUAAACAGUAUUACACCAGAUCUUACAGGAAGAAGAAUCAAGAAGAGACAUUGAAUAGUAAAAAUCAUGAUCUUAUUUGUAAUUCAAGCUGAGUGAAGAAUGGGAAACUUCCAUGAUUUUCAUGAUAAAAGAUUCCUUAUCCCUCAUUCAAGACAGAUAAAACUUCAGUGAACUGAAUCUAAUCCAUCCUAUAAGAUACAACUCAUUCA